GGUCCUCGCCGGGGCGGGAAGCGGCUCAGGCUGCCCUCGCUGGCCUGCGGCGGCGCGGCUGGAAGCGCGGGCCACUCGUGCGUGGGUCACUCAGGACUGCGCCUCGCGCGACUGUGUGUGCAGGAAACAAGCAGGAAAUACCCUAAAAGAGAAUGAAGCGCCAUGUUGAGGGUCGCGGACGUCGCGAGUGCUGUGGGAAUGUGGGCUGAGGUGGAGAGUUAUGGUAGCCCGUGUUACAGGCUCAGGGGUCUGAAAGAAGCCUAAUCGUGGAGGCGGCAUCUGAGGAGGGUCUUGAAGGCUGGGCAGGCAUUUGCCCGACAGAGAUGGAGGAAGCUAGUCCUGUCUGAUGGAGGAAACAGGGCGGAGGCGUGGAGGGAGCCGUGCAGCGCUGGUGUGAGGAGCAGCGAGCAGGCCAGGCCUGUAAAGCAGAGUGAGGGAACCAGGAUAGAGAAGGCAAGUCGGGGUCCUGUGGUCGCUGAAGAAUUUGAAUGAAAUCAGUAAACAGGCUGUACAGGAAGCAUGGUGAUGGCAUCUGCAUGGCGCCUGUGGAGGCCCCAGGGAGCUUUUACUCAUGAUGGAAGGCACAGAGGGAGUAGGCACAUCACAUGGUCCGAGGAGGAGCAAGAGAAAAUGGGAGUGGGGAUACUGCAUAGUGGAUGGAUUAGUCUGUGGUUCCUGGGAUCUUCUGUGUAUUCUGUUGAAGCUCAAUAAUCACAUUACUGCGGACCUCCAAAAUUUUACAAAGGACUGCAUAGUGAGUAUUCAGCCGAUAAACUAAACCAUAGCUUAUUACUGUGAGAUGAAAGAAAGCACACCAAUUAAAAGUAAACACUGUUUAAAC
rnacentral:lncRNA from 1 species